CAGAUUUACUUUAUUGUUUCAGAGAAGACUACUUUUCAGAAAAUCGCUUAGGAAUCAUCUUCAGUUUACUUUCCUAUAGCCAUUUGCUGGAGUACAUAUCUACCUGAGCCUUGAAAAAACAUUCAGUUGCUAGCAAAACUCAUCUAGACAGAGAAAAAAGGUCUUGAAAACAAAACUCAGAUGUGGAGAAAUAAAGUAUACCAAAUUCUUAUUUUGCCUUUGACUUCAAAGGACUCCUUUGUGGAAUAAUCUUUGUGGAAUACAAAAGGAAGAGAAGGAUAUGGAACAGAAAGAUAGAAUCAAAGAAUAAGAUUGUGCGGAAGCCUGCAAAAUACUCCAUUGCACUCAGAGCUAGUGGCUGUGCACUUUGAACAAAACCAAAUUCACCCAGGCUUGUCAACUACGCAAAGAAACAACUAAUGCUAAUGAUGGCAUUUUAAUUGCUUUAAUGGAACAAUUUAACCUAUUUAAGCAUGAAGAAUUUUUUUUUCUUUUCAUCCACAGCCAAAGUAAAGUAAUGUAUAUUUUUGAAUACUGUAAAUUUCUUUUUGCCAUUAGUUUUGAAUGUGGGAUUAGUUAGUAAUUCAAGUAUGCUUGGAGCAAAACAUUAAUAUAGCGCUUGUUUAGAUUUUUUUAAAUCAACAUUUUACAUAUACAUGAGUAUAGUCUAUCUUAAGUAUAGUAUAUCUACUUUAAUAUGUUAUACACUUAUUUCAGUAAUGCUACUGUCAUUCAAAAUAUUUUAAAAUUCUCAUUAUAAUGAAAUUUGGGGCCCAUGAAGAAAAUACUUCCAAUACUUCCAGUUCUUUCAGUGAAAAUGUUAUCUUCUGACUACAAACUAAUAUUUUGCAUUAGUUUGCCCAGGCACAUUGGACAACUGACAUAUUAAGAUUAUAAAUGUAAAAAUAAAGAAAAUAAAAUCACCCAUAAUUCCUUUACCAUAUUAACCUUUUAAUAUAUAUCCUUCCA
rnacentral:lncRNA from 10 species